ACCUUUGACAUGUACGGAAUCCUUUAGAGAUAGAGGAGUGCUCGAAAGAGAGCCGUAACACAGGUGCUGGCCAUGGCUGUCGUCAGCUCGUGUCGUGAGAUGUUGGGUUAAAGUCCCGCAACGAGCGCAACCCUUGUCAUUAGUUGCUACAUUCAGUUGGGGCACUCUAAUGAGACUGCCAGUGACAAACCGGAGGAGGUGGGGAUGACGUCAAGUCCUCAUGGCCCUUAUAGGGUGGGGCUACACACGUCAUACAAUGGAGUGGUACAAAGGGUCGCCAACCCGCGAGGGGGAGCCAAUCCCAUAAAGCCAUUCGUAGUCCGGAUCGCAGUCUGCAACUCGACUGCGUGAAGUCGGAAUCGCUAGUAAUCGUGGAUCAGAAUGUCACGGUGAAUACGUUCCCGGGUCUU
rnacentral:rRNA from 1 species